GUGUCAGCCGCCGCGGUAAAACGUAGGAGACAAGCGUUAUCCGGAGUUACUGGGCGUAAAGGGCGUGCAGGUGGUGCGGUAAGUCUGUUGUGAAAGCGCCUGGCUUAACCGGGCGAGGCCAAUGGAGACUGCUGGACUGGAGGACGGUAGAGGGGUGUGGAAUUCCGGGUGUAGUGGUGAAAUGCGUAGAGAUCCGGAGGAACACCAGAGGCGAAGGCGGCACCCUAAGCCGUACCUGACACUGAGACGCGACAGCACGGGGAGCGAACGGGAUUAGAAACCCUCGUAGUCC
rnacentral:rRNA from 1 species